UACAGAGGGGGCAAGCGUUAUUCGGAAUUAUUGGGCGUAAAGGGCGCGUAGGCGGCCAACUAAGUCAUACGUGAAAUCCCUCAGCUUAACUGGGGAACUGCGUGUGAUACUGGAUGGCUUGGAUUUGGGAGAGGGAUGCGGAAUUCCAGGUGUAGCGGUGAAAUGCGUAGAUAUCUGGAGGAACACCGGUGGCGAAGGCGGCAUCCUGGACCAAUAUUGACGCUGAGGAGCGAAAGCCAGGGGAGCAAACGGG
rnacentral:rRNA from 1 species